UUUUCUAGCCUCUGUUUUGCAUUUAGUUGGAGUACUAAAUGAAUUUUUCCAGGGGUGGAACUUGGUACAUAAUUCCAUUGCAGUAUUUUGGUCUUGUACAAAAAGUCUCCAAGCAUUUUGGAGUUGCUUAAGCAUUUUUAGAGAUUGAAAAGGUCGGUUAAAAUGGCUGUUGGUCCACUGUUUAUUUUCUAGGGGCAGUUUAACAACUUAAAUAAUGUUGGUUUUAACAUGACAAAGAUCAGGGGGAUUUAUACUAAAAUGCAAACAUUUUAGUAUUAUAGUUUGGAGAAACAAUAUUUUGACUUGUCUUUUAAUUUGAAUUUGAGGUCGGUUUGGAACAAAGUGAUGAUUAGCAAAAUUUAAUUAUGACGACGUGGCACCAUUAGCAGGAGUUUGUUGUAGCAUGACGCUGGGGGUGUUACAAAUCUCCUCCACUACAAGAAAUCUCGUCCCGAGAUUUAAGUGCGGAAGUAGAGAGUAACUUCAGGAGAACUGACCCUUAUAGGGUUAAUUAUUUGGUGAACAAUUCAGGGAAUGUGGCAGAAACAUCUCUCGAGUAGACACUCAAUAAAACAUCGAGAGCGAAGUAUGAAGGUACAAUAGGAAGUUUCAACCGAAUGGACAAACGAUUGAUACCUGAACGGAGUGUGAGAAAGGGGUUCAGAGCAUCGGGAAUAGAUCAUCUCUCGGACGGUGGCUCGUGACAACACACAAAGCCAAAGCAAAUGAUUCUUCAGAACAAUGGAUAUACAUGAGUCAGGUUCCGAUCCUGUGGAACUGUGGGUUAUGGGCCCACCAUGUGGGUUAACAGUAGGAAGGGCGAUGACGUCUUGCACGAUCAUGUAAGCAAGGUAUGUCAGAGGGUAGCCUAUCAGUAAUGUCGGCAACAACAUCAGUACCAAGGGCGAGGGACGAAGAGAACCAUUUUCCUGCUCGUUGAACGAGGCGGACCAAUAGGCAAGGUUCUCGUCCAUCGGUGGCUACUGGAAUGUCAUCAACAAUAGUAACAGGGUCUUACUAACAAAGUUGUACACCGAGGUGUUUACAUAAGCAGCAGAAUAUUACUGCUUAGAUCAUAUAGAUCAGCAGAAAGGUUAAACAAAACAAUGGAAAGGAAAAGGUGAUCAUCAGAUUAAAUAGAACAAUGGAAAGGAAAAUGUGUUUAAACACAUUUUUCAGGGGUAUAUCCUUCCCAAGGACAAUGAUUAGAAGAGAACCAUUUAGGUUAGGGAAGAGGAAGUUCAUGACAUUACCCAAACAACGGUAUUUGAAUAAUUGAUAACAAAAAUUUAGCAUUGUGCUUCAAAUGUUUUUAUUGAAGAUCGGAGUACCACAGACAUGCUUCGAGAUAGCAUUGACCUGGUCAUUAGGUAAGAUCAGGCUAUGGAUACACAAAGGAUCCAUCAGGAACAUCUUAUAGAGUAAGUCUUACAAUUUCCUCAUGGAAGAAUAGAUAAACUUGCUAAAAAGGGAAACUUAUAACAAUAGGUCCUCCGGCCAGGUGUGUUAGGCAUGACAUCACCUUACCGGGUCAUAAAUAGACCAAUGUUAUAACUCUUGGAAAUAUGUUCCAACCAUCAUAUCUGACCGAGAUUCAGAUCUGAUUGGUGUCAGGAUAACUCAGACUCGGGAUGCCUGAGAAGAAAGGUGCAACACAAAUUGUCGGAACGACAUCGAAAAUUCUCGGGAGAUGAACUAUGGAAGCGAGUUCCGAACAAGGGUUCAUCAUUAAAUCAACGAGAGGUGAGGAGGUGACUGAUUGACUCAGCGACAAUCCAUUGAGAUUUCCAAAAGAUGGAUUUCCACAACUAUGUGAACAAGGAGAUAACACUAACUAGAUCGAAUGACUUAAUGAUGUAUGCUCGAGGAAAACAUACACAGUUAAACAUUGGUUGAAAUGUGCACCCGAAAUAUGGGCUAGGUAGUACGAUCAAUGUUCGAAUGAUGAUUCAUUAAGCCAUAGACGUAGAAUGAAACUAUAGACCAAUAACUUCAAAGCAAUAGGGUUGCUAGAAGUUUAGAAUUUACGCAUCACAGACCAUUUGUCGGUAUUUCGUUUAGAAACAACACGGGGACCAAGAAAGAAUGGUGAUGGCGAGAAGUAUCACUGUACCAAGAAUUCUUAAGAGGUGGAGUAAUGCUCACGACAUUCUUGACAUCAAAGAUGGUAAUACUCCACGGUAGAACAUAACAUAUGUUGGACAGCAGGGAAAUCAAGAUACAACACAAAAUAUGAACAAGUUUGUGUUGGGGAGAGGCAAGAAUGUUGUCGAUGAUAACACAAUUCAUCGAGGGGCAAGGAUGGUAUUUCUCAUCCUGAAUUUCAACACACAACUUGGAAGAAGUCAAAUUGUUGACAAUGAUCACGACAAAUUUGUCGAGAGGUUUUCAAGAAGAUGUAAUUGAUCGACGAUGACAUCAAGUCAAAGGAAUGAUGAAAGCGAAAGGUUAUUGGAACCACGGUUAGGACACAAACUCGAAAUCAAGUUUGCUGUUCAAGGAGAAGUGAUAUGACGAGGAGGAUUGACGCAAGAUUAGCUCACUGUCAAAAUUUGUGCGCUGGGAAGGUCCAGGUAGCACAGUUAAAAUUCAGCACGAUAAUGAUGUAGCCAAUCAGGCUAGGAAUGACGUGAUCGGGUACAAACUCAUAAGUAAAGAGGAUUACUAAGAGUUUUUUAAUCGCAGUGCGGACUCGAUUCAGUUAUCGGUGGUUUUGAGUGUUUAAAAACUCGAAGCCCGUGAAAAAUUGGAAUCAAUGAGAAUGUAGCACUUGAUGGAGAACUCAUAAUAAGUUAUGCAGUUCCGUGAUAAUCUCGAGAUACCAGGGGGGUAAUACUCGACGACAAACCAAAGUAGAGGUUGGACUGGGGUAUUGCUCUGCAGAAGACAAGUGCUUAACUUGUACGAGAAAUGGUAUUUAAAGGAGAACAUAGUCGGAACCACGAUUGCAAAAGGCCAGAUCCCAGAUAUAAGAUGAACUUAUACCAAGGGAAUAAUUAAUUUAAGAGAAGCUUUAAUGAUAAGAGCUACAUCGUGUCCAUGGGCAUGAACGCAAAGUUCAAGGUCGACUCCCACUUCUUCAAUGCAUAACCUUUCAUUCACUUCUCGCGUUUGAUGAAGUUGCAGUGUUGAAAAUUUUAUCUGGCAAAAUACCAGAAGAGUAUGACUCAUGAAAUCUUUCGAGUUCACACAUAUUAUGGAAGGCAUAGGUUCAACCCAUCGGGGCAUCGUGGAAACAUAUACCACAAGCUUCAAUAGUAAAUAGCACCAGCUCGAAAGCAGAGUAUGGUUGGCCAAAUCAAGGAAUAGGAUUUACCAAAGGCAUUAUGUAUCAGGGAAAGAACUUCCAAAGUGAUUGAAUAUGAAGGACGUUGUCGGAUAAAAUCCAACAAGGUUCUGAUGGUCCAUAAAGGAUCCGAGGUGAGUAUCGGCACACAACCCGAGGAAGAAUCAAUGCAAAGACCUUGGAUUAUAGAAACAACUAAGUAACUUAGAGCUCAAUUGCAAAGGAAUUAUGAUUUACAAAGCGAAGGAUCAGAAACAAAUGCUCUGAUCAAGGAUGGAUAAGUUCAAUAGACAUAGGGGCACAAUCGACGAAAAUUUGAUUGGCGAGAACCAGCUCACGUUUCAAAUGACGUCUAAGCCGGAAGGAUGAAUUCUAGGAUCUGAUUGAGGAUUGCGAGCAUUCGCAACAAAUUGAAUUAACGGACUCAAAAUGACAAUGACAAGAGAUGCCAAUAAGAUUACGAGACUUAAGAUUAAUCAUAAUGCAAGUAAGCAAGAAUUUCAAGAGCAAAAAGGCUCUUGAGGAUUUUCGGAAGAUCGAAUGGUAUUUUGAACACUUUUGUGAAAUACUUGAAUCAACUGGGGAUGAGCGGAUACUCGGUAAGUGCGAGAAUUAUCCGUAGGGGUAUUCAGGUGACAAAGAACAGCAAGGCAGUAAGCUCAAGGAUUCUCGAAACAACAGAGAUAAUUUCGGGGUAUCUUGUAGUAACAAGAUCAACUGGGAAACAUUGUAUGAAUGGCGAGUAUACGCAGUUAUCCAUAGGAGUUUAUCGAUGAAAGGGAAUUGCAAAAGCGAUGAACACAAGUUCUCGGGUUAUCAGCGGAGAGUAUCUUCAGGGUCUUCACAUGUAGCAGACGAUCAUCAGUAAUAAGGGGCUCUCCGGGUGAAAGUGAUAACGAGAUCCUAAUGUUAGAUUUAGCAAAAUUCACUUAACCCGAAUAGAAGAGAGAUAAGAGUCCCAGAGUAUAGACAAGGAGUAAAAGAUCCUAAUACCACCCAAUGGCGACGUGGGCCCGUAAGACACACAGCCAUGUUAGUAAAAGUUUUUGCAAUGUCUAGACUCGACUUCGGCCAAGGAGUUGGAAAGAGGGAUUCCUACAGGCAGUCGGCUCUGAUACCAACUUGUGACGCCCCCGAUUUGACCGUACACUAAUCAUGCACGCAAACGUGUACGAUCAAGAUCAGGGACUCACGGGAAGAUAUCACAACACAACUCUAAAACAUAAAUAAGUCAUAAAAGCAUCAUAAUACAAGCCAGGGGCCUCGAGGGCUCGAAUACAAGUGCUCGAUCAUAGACGAGUCAGCGGAAGCAACAAUAUCUGAAUACAGACAUAGGUUAAACAAGUUUGCCUUAAUAAGGCUAGCACAAAAGUAGCAACGAUCGAAAAGGCAAGGCCUCCUGCCUGGGACCUCCUAACUACUCCUCGAAGCCGAACUCCAUGUAGAAUCAUCCUCGGGAUCUCUAGCUCCUGGACUCCAGCAUCUGGUUGCAACAAUCAGGUAUAGAAAGGGGAAAAGAGGGAGAAAAGCAACCGUGAGUACUCAUCCAAAGUACUCGCAAGCAAGGAGCUACACUACAUAUGCAUGUGUAUAUGUGUAAAGGGGCCAUAUCAGUGGACUGGACUCCAGAAUGCCAGAAUAAGAGGGGGAUAGCUAAUCCUAUCGAAGACUACGCUUCUGGCAGCCUCCAUCUUGCAGCAUGUAGAAGAGAGUAGAUUGAAGUCCUCCAAGUAGCAUCGCAUAGCAUAAUCCUACCCGGCGAUCCCCUCCUCGUUGCCCUGUUAGAGAGCGAUCACCGGGUUGUAUCUGGCACUUGGAAGGGUGUGUUUUAUUAAGUAUCCAGUUCUAGUGGUCAUAAGGUCAAGGUACAACUCCGGGUCGUCCUUUUACCGAGGGACACGGCUAUUCGAAUAGAUAAACUUCCCUGCAGGGGUGCACCACAUAACCCAACACGCUCGAUCCCAUUUGGCCGGACACACUUUUCUGGGUCAUGCCCGGCCUCGGAAGAUCAACACGUCGCAGCCCCAUCUAAGCACAACAGAGAGGUCAGCACGCCGGUCUAACCCUAUGCGCGCAGGGGUCUGGGCCCAUCGCCCUAUGCACACCUGCAUGUUGCGUACGCGGCCGGAAGCAGACCUGGCCUAGUGGCGUUCCAGUCCAAUCCGGUGCGCGCCACUUAGUCGCUGACGUCACGAAGACUUCGGCUGAUACCACGACGCCGGGAUACCCAUAACUACUCCCGCGUAGAUGGUUAGUGCGUAUAGACCAAAUGGCCAGACUCAGAUCAAAUACCAAGAACUCGUUAAGCAUGCUAUGUAUCCGCGAACGCCGACCAGGGCCAGGCCCACCUCUCUCCUAGGUGGUCUCAACCUGCCCUGUCGCUCCGCCAUAAAGUAACAGUCGGGGGCCGUCAGGAACCCAGGCCCACCUCUACCGGGGUGGAGCCACCUGUCCUUUCAGCCCCCUCAUCAGAAUCACUUGCGGGUACUCCUCGAGUCGACCCGACUUUAGUCACCACAUGUGUCAUGUAUAUAAUGUAUAUAGGAUAUACCCGUGAUCACCUCCCGAAGUGAUCACGGCCCAGUAGUAUAGCAUGGCAGACGGACAAGAGUGUAGGGCCACUGAUGGGUCACUAGCAUCCUAUACUAAGCAGUAGGAUAGCAGGUAAGGGUAACAACUGUAGCAACAAUGACAGGCUAUGCAUCAGGAUAGGAUUAAUGGAAAGCAGUAACAUGCUACACUACUCUAAUGCAAGCAGUAUAGAGAAGAAUAGGCGAUAUCUGGUGAUCAAGGGGGGGGGGCUUGCCUGGUUGCUCAGACGAGAAGGAGGGGUCGUCGGUGACGUAGUCGAUCACAGGGGCAUCAGCAUCGUCACGGGGUCUACCGAAAAGAAGAGGGGGAGAAACAGUAAAUACAUAGCAAGCAACUGCAUAACAGGACAACAGGCAAAGCUAGACGUGUUCUAACACGGUGCUACACGAUACCGGUGAAGGGGGAAGUCAACUGGGAAUGUUUUCCCGGUUUCGGACUCGUGUCAGACAGAUGACCGGAGAGGGAAAGUUCCAUGUUCAGAUAGUUAGAGGCAUCUGACAGGUAAACGGACCGCGUGUUCGGAUUCGUCUCGUCGUUCUGAGCAACUUUCAUAUAUAAAACUUUUUCAUCCGAGUUACGGAUUAUUUUCUGUGAUUUAUCAAAGAUUUUAUACAUUUAUGAUGUUUCUGGCUUUAUUUUAAUUCGGGUUGACCAAGUCAAUUUGACUGGUCAAAAGGACAGAGGUGGUGGCCCACAUGUCAUAGGCUAUAUCUAAUCUAAUAAAUAAAUCUAACUUAUUUAAAGAGGGUUCCUACAUGUCAUAUGACUAGUAUCUAACCUAACUAGUGAUUAACACUAAACUAAUUGGACAGGGCCGUCCUCACAUGUAGUGGUUGUGGCACGGCCAGCACACAUCGGAGAACCAAGGCGGCCAUGGUCACGAGCAGCAGCAAGCAACAACGUAGUAGCAGGAAGAUAGAGCAGCAGUAAGCAGCACUAGAAGAGCAGCGACAGGAGGAUAGAGCAGUAGCACAGCAAGCACUAGCAGGAGAGCAUCAGCGAGCAACGGCAAUAGCAGCAAGCGGAGCAUCAGCAGUAGUGCACUAGCAGGAGUAGCAACGCAGCGGCAAUAGCAAGGGCAGUAGCAGCGGCGAGGCAAGCAGCAACGCAGCAGGCGAGCAGCACGGCAGUAGGGCAGCAGCUGCCCGCGGGGCACGGCCCGGGCGUGCGUGACCACGCAGCACGCGCCGGCGAGCGCGGCCGGGGCGGCUGGGAGCUUGCAACGAGCGCGUCCAACCCGAGACAGGGGAUCGGCGGUAGGCACGGCGUGAGCGAGUGCGCGAGCGCAGCCAUGUGUGAACGGUCGAGUGCGUGCGUGGACGGGACGAACUCCCAUCUAUGGCGGCUGAAGCACGGGGCGACUAAACGGCAGGCACGGGAGCAGCGGCUAACGGAGUGGAUCGAGGGGGCAAAGUAGGGGUGGUGGAGGAGGAGCUCACAGUGGGGUUCGUGGACAUGGCCGAAGGCGCGGAGGUGGCCGGACGCUUCGCGCUCGUCGACGAGAUGCGGCGGCCGUGGUGGCGGAGAAGACGGGCGAUGGCGAGCUUCCGGGGCGCCCCUACUCGAAUCGAAGCAAGUAGACGAAGGAGUCGUCCAUGCUGAAGCUCCUGGACAUCCUCCCGGGCGCCGGGGAGGCCAAUGGCCGCGAGGACGAUGAUGGUGCGGCAACAACGGCUCGGGCGUGAUCUAGACGGAGAAGAGGAGGGCGAGCGAGAGGGAUAUGGUGUGUUAGGGUUUGUCUACCGCGACGGGGGGAUCUUAUCCUACUCAGGGGUGUCGGCGGAUGAUCGACACGGCGACAUCCGCGGCCAUGGAGGCGUGGAUGUGCGCCACGGCGCGCCCCUGCCUCCUCCUCUGCACUGUAUAGGAAGGGAAAAGCCUCAAGGUGGGCUGGCCCAUGUAUUGUAGCACUCUCAGCCCACGCACCCAGUAGGAUUUAGUAUUUUCACUUUUCUUUUCUAUUUUCUUUUCUAGCCUCUGUUUUGCAUUUAGUUGGAGUACUAAAUGAAUUUUUCUAGGGGUGGAACUUGGUACAUAAUUCCAUUGCAGUAUUUUGGUCUUGUACAAAAAGUCUCCAAGCAUUUUGGAGUUUCUUAAGCAUUUUUAGAGAUUGAAAAGGUCGGUUAAAAUGGUUGUUGGUCCACUGUUUAUUUUCUAGGGGCAUUUUAACAACUUAAAUAAUGUUGGUUUUAACAUGACAAAGAUCAGGGGGAUUUAUACUAAA
rnacentral:lncRNA from 1 species